AUUGAACGCUGGCGGCAUGCCUUACACAUGCAAGUCGAACGGCAGCGCGGACUUCGGUCUGGCGGCGAGUGGCGAACGGGUGAGUAAUGUAUCGGAACGUGCCCAGUAGCGGGGGAUAACUACUCGAAAGAGUAGCUAAUACCGCAUACGCCCUACGGGGGAAAGGGGGGGAUCGCAAGACCUCUCACUAUUGGAGAGGGCGAUAUCGGAUUAGCUAGUUGGGGAGGUAAAGGCUCACCAAGGCGACGGUCCGUAGCUGGUUUGAGAGGACGAGCAGCCAACCUGGGACUGAGACACGGCCCAGCCUCACACGGGAGGCAGCAGUGGGGAAUUUUGGACAAUGGGGUCAACCCUUAUCCAGCCAUUCCGCGUGUGCGAUGAAGGCCUUCGGGUUGUAAAGAACUUUUGGCAGGAAAGAAAUCGCACGGAUUAAUACGCUGUGUGGAUGACGGUACCUGCAGAAUAAGCACCGGCUAACUACGUGCCAGCAGCCGCCGUAA
rnacentral:rRNA from 1 species